GCCCCUGUGAGAUCCACCAUGGGUGUA
rnacentral:piRNA from 1 species